AACGAACGCUGGCGGCAUGCCUAACACAUGCAAGUCGAACGAUGCUUUCGGGCAUAGUGGCGCACGGGUGCGUAACGCGUGGGAAUCUGCCCUUGGGUUCGGAAUAACAGUGAGAAAUUACUGCUAAUACCGGAUGAUGUCUUCGGACCAAAGAUUUAUUGCCCAGGGAUGAGCCCGCGUAGGAUUAGCUAGUUGGUGGGGUAAUGGCCUACCAAGGCGACGAUCCUUAGCUGGUCUGAGAGGAUGAUCAGCCACACUGGGACUGAGACACGGCCCAGACUCCUACGGGAGGCAGCAGUGGGGAAUAUUGGACAAUGGGCGAAAGCCUGAUCCAGCAAUGCCGCGUGAGUGAUGAAGGCCUUAGGGUUGUAAAGCUCUUUUACCCGGGAUGAUAAUGACAGUACCGGGAGAAUAAGCUCCGGCUAAACUCCGUGCCAGCAGCCGCGGU
rnacentral:rRNA from 1 species